UUUCAAACCGUUCAAUAACAUGAAGUGAUCUUUCUUAGCAGACUUUCAUUAACAAGUUCUUGUCAGAGUAAUAUAUAAGAACAAUGUGCCUUUUCCCCAGCAGACAUUUUGACUAAUUGAAAGUAAAGCACAGGUGUCACUGAUAACGUUAACCCUCGUGUUGUCUUCCCGUUACAAUAGAAAAUCAAAACUUUUGACGCUUUUUACGUAAUACUAACUUAUUAACUUUAGUUUUACAUUUAUUUUUGGAAUUUAUGGUCAAUAAACCUCAUUUAUAGGAAAUUAUACCUAAUGUUUGAGUUAGAAAAGCAGAAAUUAGGAAUUAUUUUGACUAAAAUUAAAGGAAUCGAUGUUGACGGAUAAUCCCAGACUGGAAUAUGUCAACUUUUACUCCAUACUAUUUCAAAAACACUUUAAAUUGUUUUUCAAAUGUUAUAAAAUGAGCGUUGUGUGGAAUCAAUGAUGCUAUUUUGGGAAAUUAAAAAGAACAUUGAUAUAGGAAAAUGGGUCAAUUUGAUCCGAGGACAACAUGAGGGGGGGGGGUCAAAAUGUCUCCUGUACGUAAAGGUCUAUUGUUUAGUUCUUGACUUAAAGCAAUCUAAUUCAUGCUCCUGUUAAGAUGUGGAUAAAGAUGAAGUUAUUUAUUUGACCAGUGUAAUCUUAGACCAUGUCCCUGCUUUGUUCCUGUUUCUGCCUUACUCGUGGAGGCUGGUCUUUGUGUCCUUGUGUUGUCACAAAGGUGGAUAGCUCACUCUUCAU